rnacentral:tRNA from 1 species
GGCUCUAUUGAAUAAGAUAGGAUAAGUUGAGUCUGUGAGGUUCAUACCCUCUUGGUGUUUUUCUCUUAUUG